rnacentral:siRNA from 1 species
AGCCCUGGUUGUGGUUUUAGCCCU